UACGUAGGUGGCAAGCGUUGUCCGGAUUUACUGGGCGUAAAGGAUGCGUAGGCGGACAUUUUAAGUCAGAUGUGAAAUACCCCGAGCUUAACUUGGGUGCUGCAUUUGAAACUGGGUGUCUAGAGUGCAGGAGAGGUAAGUGGAAUUCCUAGUGUAGCGGUGAAAAUGCGUAGAGAUUAGGAAGAACACCAGUGGCGAAGGCGACUUACUGGACUGUAACUGACGCUGAGGCAUGAAAGCGUGGGGAGCAAACAGG
rnacentral:rRNA from 1 species